CUGCAGUCCAAGGCUGACCUGUGUGGGGAGAUCCAUUUCAUGAACUGUUUAUACGAGGAGGAACUGCCCCAGACGCAGACCCACGCCAGUGACACCAAAGUCAUCCUGGACCUACAUGGCAUCGUCGACGCAGUGCGGACGAAGCACACGCUGAUCACACAGAAGAGCAAGGAGGAGGCGGGUCCUGGUACCAGACGCAGGGGGGCGCCGGGCCCCGGACUCCACGCGCAGAAAACUAACAAUCCUCCCAUGAACUUGCAUUAUUUUUCUCUUACUUCUAAAGAAAAACAUAUUUGUUACAAAAUCCUAGAAAUUACCAGUGAAGAUUACCCAUAAUCCCACUGCCACUAUUGCUCUGUCAGUACGUUUUCUCCGGGUUCUUUGAAGCUAAUGUUUACUGAGAGCUCACGUGGGUCAGGCACUAAGGGCUUUAUAUAUUGUUUCAUUUAACCCUGCCACAACCCUAUGAGACAAG
rnacentral:lncRNA from 1 species